rnacentral:lncRNA from 1 species
UUUUUUGUUUUUUUUUUAACUAGGUCCUCGUUGGCAAUUCUUCUGCUAGAGCCCCUCUGCUCCCGGCCCUAUGAUAGCCAUCCCUUCUCCUUGUCCUAGGAGACCACUUAUCCUUUCUUUUUCUCUUUUCCUGUUUGUUUGGACUGUUCCAAGCAAUGCCUUUAGUUUCUGGAACUCUUGAGCCUCUCAAAGGGAACCAGGGUGAGACCUGGCUUCUGGAGGCUUGCCUUAGGGGAAGCCCUGGGCAGGGGCUGUCUCUUGUUUACUACCUCCUUCCAACUUCACUUAAUUUACCAACAAAAUUAAAGCUGCGCCCUUCAUCCCAUGUGUGGAGUUUAUGUCCUGAAGUGCCCCAAGAUCUGAACAGUCAAGACCCACAGAUGCAGAGCUCUCUCGGACGUCUCCCUUUCAUACCACACAACACCCCACAGUCAGCAGAGUCAUGCAAACACUGCAGCCUGCAUGAGACAGGGAGUCAUGCCAGAAGUAGUAUCAAUUCCCAGUGUUCUAGAAUGCUUCUGGCCAUGAGUCUGACUUGAGAACUGUCUGUGGAUUCUGGGGCCCCCCGCAUCCAAAUCCUUCCACACUCCCCACUUUUAUCACAGCAGGAACUUCAACUCUUGAGAACGUGAUUCUUGCCGCCGCCCCCCCCCCCCACACACACACACUCUUCUCCGUUCUGGGAACCCUCACUAACUCCCUGCCCUGUUGUGUUUAUGUGUGGCGUGUCUUGAACCCUGUCCCUACCUUCGCUU